rnacentral:sRNA from 1 species
AGAAUGGGUGAUACAGAAAGCAGGGAAACUAUUUUAGUUUUUCAUUAUUUUUACUUCGGUUUUCAAAGAUUGCAUGUCUCCUUUCUAGAUGGAAAUUAUAAAAAUACCUAAAACUAAUUGGAAGUAAAUAAAUAAUUAAGGGCUUUACCGUGAUUUUGUAUCUUUUUUGUUGGUUUUUUUUUUUUGGUUAUAUGUAUGUUGCUUUAGUGAGAGAUAUGAUACUAUGGAUUGGAGUGGAGUGGACUGAACUGGUGUGCGUGUGUGUAAAUUUGUGGAUGUGUGUGUGUGUGUGUCUUGUGUGUGUGUGUGAGCUUUUUUGUGAGUAGGCUGUAAAGUAAAUGUAUUAUUAAAUAUUAAAUUAAAACACAAUGAGUACAAUAAUAAAUGUCGAGAAAACAGUUGGAGAGCUAAGCACAAAAAAAGAUUCAAUAGAGUUUUGCUCAAGAAUGUGUGUUGGGUGGUUAGUGACAAAAACACUUACAAAUUAUAGAGAGGGGAGAGGACAUAUAACUAGUGGAGCUUGGAGACAGAACAGGACAGCCUCCUCAGAGCUUCCUUGGCCUAAAGUGCAUUGUUCUUUUUUUAAAUUAUAUUGUAUAAAUAAAUACGCAUGCAACAUUAAAAUGUAGGAAAGAAAACUUAAGAGAUUAUAAAUAAAUAAGUUGAAAAGAAUUUGAUAGAAAAUUGGGUAUUUAUAAAAUACAAUUCUAUACAAACUAAGUUGGUUUUCGUUUUCUCAUUUCAUAUUUUAAUUUGUAGAUAAUUAAACGCUAGAUAGUAUAUUAAUUAGAUAGAUGUAUACGCUUCACAAUCGCUAGGAGAAGACAGGUAGAGAUAGAAGAAACUUAAAGUUAAACCUUCGGCAAUACAAACGAAUGGAAUGUGAACAAAAAACAGAACAAACUACAAAUCUAGUUCCAUACAUAGUCAUAUAGGUAUAGUUACUUCGUCUAACAGAUACAUAUAUGUGUAAGGUCUAGGAAGGAUACAUAGUUAUGCAUAUCUAUAGUUUAUAUAGUAUUUAUAUAUAUAUAUAUAUAUGUAUAUAUAUAUAUGUAGUAUGUUGUAGUAGUUAAGCAUGCAAACAACAAUAAGAGGGAGAGGCAACACCAUAACUGCGUUGUUUGGCUGUCGUUCAUCAGGCAACAUCACAUCCACAUCAUCAUCAACAUCACAUCACAUCCAUCCACCUGAAAUAGAGAUCUGAUUAGUAUGGAUUCAUAGCAGGGGUACGAAUGCCUAAGACUAUGUAUCGGAAUGAGGGUAGGAACAGGUGGAGAAUGGCGAGUGAAUAUCUUUGGAGUGUCUGUGGAUGGAAUGGAAUGAGAAAGUUCUAUAGAGGAAUAUGCAGUUAAAAUAAGUACAACUUCAGUGUUUGGUAUUUUGUUUUUGACAUUUGCUUUUAAUUGUAUUUCGAAAUUUCUUUGGUUUUUGUGUUGGGUUUUUGGUUUUAAUACAUUUUUCCGGCCAUAAUUACGAUUUUCAGUUGAGAAAUACAUAUUAUUAUAAUGGUAAUACAGAAUCUCUCUUGCAGGUUUAUAGAGGUAUUUGUUCCUUUUUUCUUUCUCAGUUUUUUUUUUGUUGGAUUGGGGUUUACAUUACAAUAAGGUAGGGGAAUCUGAUGGAACACUAUAAUCUUAUCUCCUGUCCUGUCUUGUCCUGUACUUCCCUGUGUUUCUAUUUUCAGUGCCAGUUCAGAUUCGUGAUUCUGUUCAUUUAAAUCUAACAAUUUCAAAGCAUACUCGUACAUGCGCUGAUAUUUCGAAUUAAUUUUGUAAACAUUGUUAUUAUCAAUUAUCAAUUAUAAUUUGUGUCUAAAUUGAAAAUAUUAUUCCGUUAUCGUUUUGUUUUGACUAGAUAAUCGUUUAUAGAUAAUAAUUAUUAUAUAAGCAUAACUUAAUGACCAGAAAUCAAUCUUUAAAAUGUUUCUAACAAAUUAAAAAGCUAUUGCGUAUGCAAACGUAAUAUAAAACCAAAAAUACAUAUUAAUAUUAAGUAUCUUUAGAGGGGCAUUUGCUUUAUGUCCAUGCCAUGCAUAUAGUUAGGGGUCUUUUACUUCCAUACUUAAUAUAAAAGUUUCCGUUUUGGUUCACAAAUGUUGCUGUGACGACUAGUUCAAGUAAUUUUCUGUUGGUUUUCUUUGCUGCAUUUUUUUUUGGGUUUUUUUUUCUGGGAAAAAAUGUACACAUAUUUAUAUGUUUUAAGUUUUUCGUGAGAAUUGUCUAAAGCAAUACAA